GUCGAACGAUGAAGCUCCAGCUUGCUGGGGUGGAUUAGUGGCGAACGGGUGAGUAACACGUGAGUAACCUGCCCCUCACUUCGGGAUAACGCCUGGAAACGGGUGCUAAUACCGGAUAUGACGCGCUAUCGCAUGGUGGUGUGUGGAAAGACUGUGUUGGUGGGGGAUGGGCUCGCGGCCUAUCAGCUUGUUGGUGGGGUGAUGGCCUACCAAGGCGGUGACGGGUAGCCGGCCUGAGAGGGUGACCGGCCACACUGGGACUGAGACACGGCCCAGACUCCUACGGGAGGCAGCAGUGGGGAAUAUUGCACAAUGGGCGGAAGCCUGAUGCAGCGACGCCGCGUGAGGGAUGACGGCCUUCGGGUUGUAAACCUCUUUCGGUAGGGAAGAAGCCUUCGGGUGACGGUACCUGCAGAAGAAGCGCCGGCUAACUACGUGCCAGCAGCCGCGGUAAUACGUAGGGCGCAAGCGUUGUCCGGAAUUAUUGGGCGUAAAGAGCUCGUAGGCGGCCUGUCGCGUCUGCUGUGAAAGCCCGGGGCUUAACUCCGGGUCUGCAGUGGGUACGGGCGGGCUGGAGUGCGGUAGGGGAGACUGGAAUUCCUGGUGUAGCGGUGGAAUGCGCAGAUAUCAGGAGGAACACCGGUGGCGAAGGCGGGUCUCUGGGCCGUUACUGACGCUGAGGAGCGAAAGCAUGGGGAGCGAACAGGAUUAGAUACCCUGGUAGUCCAUGCCGUAAACGUUGGGCACUAGGUGUGGGGCCUGUUUCCACGGGUUCCGUGCCGUAGCUAACGCAUUAAGUGCCCCGCCUGGGGAGUACGGCCGCAAGGCUAAAACUCAAAGGAAUUGACGGGGGCCCGCACAAGCGGCGGAGCAUGCGGAUUAAUUCGAUGCAACGCGAAGAACCUUACCAAGGCUUGACAUGCACCGGUAACGUCCAGAGAUGGGCGCCCCCUUACGGGUCGGUGCACAGGUGGUGCAUGGUUGUCGUCAGCUCGUGUCGUGAGAUGUUGGGUUAAGUCCCGCAACGAGCGCAACCCUCGUCCUGUGUUGCCAGCGGGUUAUGCCGGGGACUCAUGGGAGACUGCCGGGGUCAACUCGGAGGAAGGUGGGGAUGACGUCAAAUCAUCAUGCCCCUUAUGUCUUGGGCUUCACGCAUGCUACAAUGGCCGGUACAAAGGGUUGCGAUGCCGUGAGGUGGAGCGAAUCCCAAAAAGCCGGUCUCAGUUCGGAUUGGGGUCUGCAACUCGACCCCAUGAAGUCGGAGUCGCUAGUAAUCGCAGAUCAGCAACGCUGCGGUGAAUACGUUCUCGGGCCUUGUACACACCGCCCGUCACGUCACGAAAGUCGGUAACACCCGAAGCCGGUGGCCUAACCCUUGUGGGGGGAGCCGUCGAAGGUGGGACUGGCGAUUGGGACAAAGUCGUAACAAGGUAGCCGUACCGGAAGGUGCGGUUGGAUCACCU
rnacentral:rRNA from 1 species